UACGUAGGGGGCAAGCGUUGUCCGGAAUCAUUGGGCGUAAAGCGCGUGUAGGCGGUUCGGUAAGUCUGCUGUGAAAGUCCAGGGCUCAACCCUGGGAUGCCGGUGGAUACUGUCGAACUAGAGUACGGAAGAGGCGAGUGGAAUUCCCGGUGUAGCGGUGAAAUGCGCAGAUAUCGGGAGGAACACCAAUUGCGAAGGCAGCUCGCUGGGACGUCACUGACGCUGAGGUGCGAAAGCGUGGGGAGCAAACAGG
rnacentral:rRNA from 1 species